GACGAGGGGUCCUAGCGUUGUUCGGAAUCAUUGGGCGUAAAGCGUAUGUAGGCUGCCAUUCAAGUCAGUUGUGAAAGCCCCGGGCUUAACCCGGGAAGUGCUUCUGAUACUGUUUGGCUUGAGUACUGGAGAGGAUAGUAGAAUUCCUGGUGUAGCGGUGAAAUGCGCAGAUAUCAGGAAGAACACCUAUGGCGAAGGCAGCUCUCUGGGACGGUACUGACGCUGAGACGCGAAAGCGUGGGGAGCGAACAGG
rnacentral:rRNA from 1 species